rnacentral:rRNA from 1 species
UACGUAGGGCGCAAGCGUUGUUCGGAAUCACUGGGCGUAAAGCGCACGUAGGCGGAUGUGUCAGUCAGGGGUGAAAUCCCGGAGCUCAACUUCGGAACUGCCUCUGAUACAGCACGUCUUGAGUCCGGAAGAGGUGGGUGGAAUUCCUAGUGUAGAGGUGAAAUUCGUAGAUAUUAGGAAGAACACCGGUGGCGAAGGCGGCCCACUGGUCCGGUACUGACGCUGAGGUGCGAAAGCGUGGGGAGCAAACAGG